UACGAAGGGGGCAAGCGUUGUUCGGAAUUACUGGGCGUAAAGGGCGCGUAGGCGGCUUAUCAAGUCAGGCGUGAAAUUCCCGGGCUCAACCUGGGGGCUGCGCUUGAUACUGCUGAGCUUGAAUGCGGGAGAGGAUGGUGGAAUUCCCAGUGUAGAGGUGAAAUUCGUAGAUAUUGGGAAGAACACCGGUGGCGAAGGCGGCCAUCUGGCCCGUGAUUGACGCUGAGGCGCGAAAGCGUGGGGAGCAAAUAGG
rnacentral:rRNA from 1 species